GCCCUUAGAGUUUGAUCCUGGCUCAGAGUGAACGCUGGCGGCGUGGAUUAGGCAUGCAAGUCGCACGAUCUUACAAUUUGAUGAGGGGGCAACUCCAAGUUAGAUUGUUUGAUAGUGGCAAACGGGUGAGGAGCACGUGAGUAAUCUGCCCCAGAAACAAGCAUAGCACCGUGAAAACGGUGGUAAUUCUUGAUAUCAUCAUUGAUGCGCAUGUGUCGAUGAUUAAAGGCGGGGACCGCAAGGCCCGCCAUUUUGGGAUGAGCUCGCGUCCUAUCAGCUAGUUGGUGGGGUAAUGACCCACCAAGGCUAUUGACGGGUAGCUGGUCUUAGAGGAUGGUCAGCCACACUGGGACUGAGACACUGCCCAGACUCCUACGGGAGGCUGCAGUCGAGAAUAUUUAGCAAUGGGCGAAAGCCUGACUAUGCGACGCCGCGUGAGGGAUGAAGGUUUUCGGAUCGUAAACCUCUUUUGGCAGGGAAGAAACCUUUGCAGUGAAUAGUUGCAAAGCUGACGGUACCUGCAGAAUAAGCCACGGCCAACUCCGUGCCAGCAGCCGCGGUAAUACCGAGGUGGCAAGCGUUACUC
rnacentral:rRNA from 1 species